AGAGUUUGAUCCUGGCUCAGGAUGAACGCUAGCUACAGGCUUAACACAUGCAAGUCGAGGGGCAGCAUGGUCUUAGCUUGCUAAGGCCGAUGGCGACCGGCGCACGGGUGAGUAACACGUAUCCAACCUGCCGUCUACUCUUGGACAGCCUUCUGAAAGGAAGAUUAAUACAAGAUGGCAUCAUGAGUCCGCAUGUUCACAUGAUUAAAGGUAUUCCGGUAGACGAUGGGGAUGCGUUCCAUUAGAUAGUAGGCGGGGUAACGGCCCACCUAGUCUUCGAUGGAUAGGGGUUCUGAGAGGAAGGUCCCCCACAUUGGAACUGAGACACGGUCCAAACUCCUACGGGAGGCAGCAGUGAGGAAUAUUGGUCAAUGGACGAGAGUCUGAACCAGCCAAGUAGCGUGAAGGAUGACUGCCCUAUGGGUUGUAAACUUCUUUUAUACGGGAAUAAAGUGAGGCACGUGUGCCUUUUUGUAUGUACCGUAUGAAUAAGGAUCGGCUAACUCCGUGCCAGCAGCCGCGGUAAUACGGAGGAUCCGAGCGUUAUCCGGAUUUAUUGGGUUUAAAGGGAGCGUAGAUGGAUGUUUAAGUCAGUUGUGAAAGUUUGCGGCUCAACCGUAAAAUUGCAGUUGAUACUGGAUAUCUUGAGUGCAGUUGAGGCAGGCGGAAUUCGUGGUGUAGCGGUGAAAUGCUUAGAUAUCACGAAGAACUCCGAUUGCGAAGGCAGCCUGCUAAGCUGCAACUGACAUUGAGGCUCGAAAGUGUGGGUAUCAAACAGGAUUAGAUACCCUGGUAGUCCACACGGUAAACGAUGAAUACUCGCUGUUUGCGAUAUACUGCAAGCGGCCAAGCGAAAGCGUUAAGUAUUCCACCUGGGGAGUACGCCGGCAACGGUGAAACUCAAAGGAAUUGACGGGGGCCCGCACAAGCGGAGGAACAUGUGGUUUAA
rnacentral:rRNA from 1 species